rnacentral:rRNA from 1 species
GUGUCAGCCGCCGCGGUAAUACAGAGGUCCCAAGCGUUGUUCGGAUUCACUGGGCGUAAAGGGUGCGUAGGUGGCCAGGUAAGUUCGGUGUGAAAGCUCGGAGCUUAACUCCGAAAUGUCAUUGAAUACUAUCUGGCUAGAGGGUCGGAGGGGAGACUGGAAUUCUCGGUGUAGCAGUGAAAUGCGUAGAUAUCGAGAGGAACACCAGUGGCGAAGGCGAGUCUCUGGACGACUCCUGACACUGAGGCACGAAAGCUAGGGGAGCAAACAGGAUUAGAUACCCUAGUAGUCC